CUAUAUACCUGGCAGGGGAGAUACCAUGAUCACGAAGGUGGUUUUCCCAGGGUGAGGCUUGCCCAUUGCACUCGGAUGUGCUGACCACUGCGAUUUCCCCAAAUGUAGGAAAACUGACUGUGUAAUUUGUGGUAGUGGGGGACUGCAUUUGCUAUUUCCCC
rnacentral:snRNA from 1 species